AACGAACGCUGGCGGCAGGCUUAACACAUGCAAGUCGAGCGCCCCGCAAGGGGAGCGGCAGACGGGCGAGUAACGCGUGGGAAUCUACCCAUCUCUACGGAAUAACGCAUGGAAACGUGUGCUAAUACCGUAUACGUCCUUCGGGAGAAAGAUUUAUCGGAGAUGGAUGAGCCCGCGUUGGAUUAGCUAGUUGGUGGGGUAAAGGCCUACCAAGGCGACGAUCCAUAGCUGGUCUGAGAGGAUGAUCAGCCACACUGGGCCUGAGACACGGCCAAGACUCCUACGGGAGGCAGCAGUGGGGAAUAUUGGACAAUGGGCGCAAGCCUGAUCCAGCCAGGCCGCGUGAGUGAUGAAGGCCCUAGGGUUGUAAAGCUCUUUCACCGGUGAAGAUAAUGACGGUAACCGGAGAAGAAGCCCCGGCUAACUUCGUGCCAGCCGCCGCAGUAAGAC
rnacentral:rRNA from 1 species